AGCAGCCGCGGUAAUUCCAGCUCCAAUAGCGUAUAUUAAAGUUGUUGCAGUUAAAAAGCUCGUAGUUGAAUUUCGGGAUCAGAAGGUCGGUCGUGCCAAUGGUAUGCACUGGCCUUUCUGAUUCCUCCCUCUUGAUGAGCCGUAAUGUCAUUAAUUUGGUGUUGCGGGGAAUCAGGACUGUUACUUUGAAAAAAUUAGAGUGUUUAAAGCAGGCAAGCGCUUGAAUACAUUAGCAUGGAAUAAUGAAAUAGGACGUUCGAUCCUAUUUUGUUGGUUUCUAGGAUUGACGUAAUGAUUAAUAGGGAUAGUUGGGGGCAUUAGUAUUCAAUUGUCAGAGGUGAAAUUCUUGGAUUUAUUGAAGACUAACUACUGCGAAAGCAUUUGCCAAGGAUGUUUUCAUUAAUCAAGAACGAAAGUUAGGGGAUCGAAGACGAUCAGAUACCGUCGUAG
rnacentral:rRNA from 1 species